CAAGAUUAAAACUCAAAGGAAUAGACGGGGACCCGCACAAGCGGUGGAGCAUGUGGUUUAAUUCGAAGAUACACGAAGAACCUUACCUAGGCUUGACAUUGAUAGAAUCCGCUAGAGAUAGUGGAGUGCUAGCUUGCUAGAACUUGAAAACAGGUGCUGCACGGCUGUCGUCAGCUCGUGUCGUGAGAUGUUGGGUUAAGUCCCGCAACGAGCGCAACCCUCGUCCUUAGUUGCUAACUAUUCGGUAGAGCACUCUAAGGAGACUGCCUUCGCAAGGAGGAGGAAGGUGAGGAUGACGUCAAGUCAUCAUGGCCCUUACGCCUAGGGCUACACACGUGCUACAAUGGGAAGUACAAAGAGAUGCAAUAUUGUGAAAUGGAGCAAAUCUCAAAAACUUCUCUCAGUUCGGAUUGUAGUCUGCAACUCGACUACAUGAAGCUGGAAUCGCUAGUAAUCGUAGAUCAGCUAUGCUACGGUGAAUACGUUCCCGGGUCUUGUACUCACCGCCCGUCACACCAUGGGAGUCGGAAAUGCC
rnacentral:rRNA from 1 species